rnacentral:lncRNA from 1 species
CAUAAACUUGCCAAGCCGCAAAGCAAAUCCCCUUCCACUGAAGAGGUGCUGGGCUUGUCGUAGGAUGUGACCCACUGGAUGCUGGCAGGCGGUUCUUCUGAGAGACUGAGAGAUGCUGGAAAACUCAGCAUCUCAGUGAAUGACUGGAAGAACAAGGGAGUAAAAGAACAUGAAGGGAGAGCCAUAAUGCAAGCCAUUCCUAGUGGAAAAGUUGAGAAGGAAGAACAGCUUAUUCCAGACCAGUGAAAUUGAAAUUCCCAUGUGGAACAACAUAAGAGGAAAGAGGCCUUCCCUUACAAAGUUGGACAGCCCUCUCGCAUGGCAAUUUGGCAGUAAGUAUCAACAUGUUCAGUGUGUAUAACCUUUGCCCAAGCAAUACCACUUCUGGGAAUCUACAGAAAUUCUACCAGAAGACCACAAAGAUACAUAAGCCCUGAGCACUGAAGCACUGUCUGAUGUGAAAACCUGAAAAUAUCCUUUGUGUUUCCCAUAAGCAAACAUUGAUGCAUUUAUGCCGUGAAAAGGGCUGUUAG